UACGUAGGGUGCAAGCGUUAUUCGGAAUUACUGGGCGUAAAGCGUGCGCAGGCGGCUUUGCAAGCCAGAUGUGAAAUCCCCGGGCUUAACCUGGGAACUGCAUUUGUGACUGCAUGGCUGGAGUGCGGCAGAGGGGGAUGGAAUUCCGCGUGUAGCAGUGAAAUGCGUAGAUAUGCGGAGGAACACCGAUGGCGAGGGCAAGCCCCUGGGCCUGCACUGACGCUCAUGCACGAAAGCGUGGGGAGCAAACAGG
rnacentral:rRNA from 1 species